rnacentral:rRNA from 1 species
UUUAUGGAGAGUUUGAUCCUGGCUCAGGAUGAACGCUGGCGGCGUGCCUAAUACAUGCAAGUCGAGCGAACGGACGAGAAGCUUGCUUCUCUGAUGUUAGCGGCGGACGGGUGAGUAACACGUGGAUAACCUACCUAUAAGACUGGGAUAACUUCGGGAAACCGNNUCCGCGCUGCAUUAGCUAGUUGGUAAGGUAACGGCUUACCAAGGCAACGAUGCAUAGCCGACCUGAGAGGGUGAUCGGCCACACUGGAACUGAGACACGGUCCAGACUCCUACGGGAGGCAGCAGUAGGGAAUCUUCCGCAAUGGGCGAAAGCCUGACGGAGCAACGCCGCGUGAGUGAUGAAGGUCUUCGGAUCGUAAAACUCUGUUAUUAGGGAAGAACAUAUGUGUAAGUAACUGUGCACAUCUUGACGGUACCUAAUCAGAAAGCCACGGCUAACUACGUGCCAGCAGCCGCGGUAAUACGUAGGUGGCAAGCGUUAUCCGGAAUUAUUGGGCGUAAAGCGCGCGUAGGCGGUUUUUUAAGUCUGAUGUGAAAGCCCACGGCUCAACCGUGGAGGGUCAUUGGAAACUGGAAAACUUGAGUGCAGAAGAGGAAAGUGGAAUUCCAUGUGUAGCGGUGAAAUGCGCAGAGAUAUGGAGGAACACCAGUGGCGAAGGCGACUUUCUGGUCUGUAACUGACGCUGAUGUGCGAAAGCGUGGGGAUCAAACAGGAUUAGAUACCCUGGUAGUCCACGCCGUAAACGAUGAGUGCUAAGUGUUAGGGGGUUUCCGCCCCUUAGUGCUGCAGCUAACGCAUUAAGCACUCCGCCUGGGGAGUACGACCGCAAGGUUGAAACUCAAAGGAAUUGACGGGGACCCGCACAAGCGGUGGAGCAUGUGGUUUAAUUCGAAGCAACGCGAAGAACCUUACCAAAUCUUGACAUCCUUUGACAACUCUAGAGAUAGAGCCUUCCCCUUCGGGGGACAAAGUGACAGGUGGUGCAUGGUUGUCGUCAGCUCGUGUCGUGAGAUGUUGGGUUAAGUCCCGCAACGAGCGCAACCCUUAAGCUUAGUUGCCAUCAUUAAGUUGGGCACUCUAAGUUGACUGCCGGUGACAAACCGGAGGAAGGUGGGGAUGACGUCAAAUCAUCAUGCCCCUUAUGAUUUGGGCUACACACGUGCUACAAUGGACAAUACAAAGGGCAGCGAAACCGCGAGGUCAAGCAAAUCCCAUAAAGUUGUUCUCAGUUCGGAUUGUAGUCUGCAACUCGACUACAUGAAGCUGGAAUCGCUAGUAAUCGUAGAUCAGCAUGCUACGGUGAAUACGUUCCCGGGUCUUGUACACACCGCCCGUCACACCACGAGAGUUUGUAACACCCGAAGCCGGUGGAGUAACCUUUUAGGAGCUAGCCGUCGAAGGUGGGACAAAUGAUUGGGGUGAAGUCGUAACAAGGUAGCCGUAUCGGAAGGUGCGGCUGGAUCACCUCCUUUCUAAGGA